GAGUUUGAUCUUGGCUCAGGAUGAACGCUGGCGGCGUGCUUAACACAUGCAAGUCGAACGAUGAAGCCCAGCUUGCUGAGUGGAUUAGUGGCGAACGGGUGAGUAACACGUGAGUAACCUGCCCUUGACUCUAGGAUAAGCCCGGGAAACUGGGUCUAAUACUGGAUAGGAACGUCUACCGCAUGGUGGAUGUUGGAAAGAAUUUCGGUCAUGGAUGGACUCGCGGCCUAUCAGCUUGUUGGUGAGGUAAUGGCUCACCAAGGCGACGACGGGUAGCCGGCCUGAGAGGGUGACCGGCCACACUGGGACUGAGACACGGCCCAGACUCCUACGGGAGGCAGCAGUGGGGAAUAUUGCACAAUGGGCGAAAGCCUGAUGCAGCGACGCCGCGUGAGGGAUGACGGCCU
rnacentral:rRNA from 1 species